rnacentral:rRNA from 1 species
UACGAAGGGGGCUAGCGUUGUUCGGAAUCACUGGGCGUAAAGCGCACGUAGGCGGAUGUGUCAGUCAGGGGUGAAAUCCCGGGGCUCAACCUCGGAACUGCCUCUGAUACAGCACAUCUUGAGUCCGGAAGAGGUGGGUGGAAUUCCUAGUGUAGAGGUGAAAUUCGUAGAUAUUAGGAAGAACACCGGUGGCGAAGGCGGCCCACUGGUCCGGUACUGACGCUGAGACGCGAAAGCGUGGGGAGCGAACAGG